UGGGGAAUAUUGGACAAUGGGCGAAAGCCUGAUCCAGCCAUGCCGCGUGUGUGAAGAAGGUCUUCGGAUUGUAAAGCACUUUAAGUUGGGAGGAAGGGCAGUAAGCGAAUACCUUGCUGUUUUGACGUUACCGACAGAAUAAGCACCGGCUAACUCUGUGCCAGCAGCCGCGGUAAUACAGAGGGUGCGAGCGUUAAUCGGAUUUACUGGGCGUAAAGCGUGCGUAGGCGGCUAAUUGAGUCGGAUGUGAAAUCCCCGAGCUUAACUUGGGAAUUGCAUUCGAUACUGGUUAGCUAGAGUGUGGGAGAGGAUGGUAGGAUUCCAGGUGUAGCGGUGAAAUGCGUAGAGAUCUGGAGGAAUACCGAUGGCGAAGGCAGCCAUCUGGCCUAACACUGACGCUGAGGUACGAAAGCAUGGGGAGCAAACAGG
rnacentral:rRNA from 1 species